ensembl:lncRNA
GUUUUUUUGGUUUUUUUUUGUGUGUGUGUGUGUGAUCUCCAACCUCCUACAUUUUUAAGUGCACAAUAUGGUAUAGUUAACUACAGGAUUUUUGUCUUACAGGCGAUUUCCAGAAUUUAUUCAUCUUGCAUGAUUGAAACUUUAUACUAGUGGAAUGACAGACUCCCCACUUCACCCUCCCCCCAAUCCUUGGUAACCACCACUCUAUUCUCAGCUUCUAUGAACCUGUUUUAAACACAUCAUGUAAGUUGGAAUCACAGGUACGUGUGUUCCUCUGUGACUGGCUUACUUCACUUAGCAUAAGGUCCUCUAGGUUUAGCCAUGUCGCAAACAGCAGGAUUUCCUUUUCAAAGACUGAAUAAUAUUACACUUUAUGUAUAUGCCACAUUUUCUUUUUCCAUUCAUUUGGGUUAUUUCAGCAUAUUGGCUGCUGUGAAUAGAAUAAUGUUGCUGGGUACAUGGGAAUGCAAAUAAAGAGAGCAGAGAGAAGCAGUUCUUAAUCUUCUCAGGUCAAGGGGAAGGUCCUGUGGGAGAAACGAUGGGGGAAGACGCUCCUUCCAAGAUUCAGAGGUGCCAGCCCCCCCCCCAAUUUAAGGAACAUAUAUAAUUCAGUAGAAGAAAAAGGACAGAACAACAUGUAAACCAAGCAGAUGCAUGUAAAUGCAAAUUCUCAGGCCCCAUCACAAACCUACUAAACCAGAAUCUGAAAUUUAACAAGAUCCCCAGGUGAUUUCUUAGCACAUGAAAUAUUAAGAAGCACUGAUUUAAAAGGAAAACAGCACUGAUUUAACAGAGAGAGGGGAAAAAAGAGAGAAGGGCGAGUGCAGCCAAUACAGAAAAAAGAUUGAUAACAGUGGAAACCAGAUACGGACAUGGGGGGGGGGGGCUUGUUGCACUAUUUUCUACUUUUGUGUUUAUUUGAAAAUGUUUCAAGUAAAAACAAAAAACAAUGCACCGAUGGACUGACAGAGGAAACUGUGGUUGGAGACAGCAGUGGCCGCUGCAGGAGAGAAGUUCCAGGCUCUGUGUCACAAAUGCAAAUAGCCACAGCAGCCCCGGGCACUGGAACAUCACCAGGUGAUAUGUCCGGGGGCUGAUACCAGGAGUGGCUACAGCCUCAAAGAACAGGGCGCACCCAGGCCUCAUAGGAUGGAUGAAAAAGACGGACACCGGCCACCUCCUGAUGAGAUUUCAGCACUCCUCAGACACGGAGAACAUUUCAAAGGCUUCAGAGAGCAAAAACACAGAGCCUACUGCUGUUAGCCACGCACUGCAGGCACGGAGCCAGGCCUCUGUGUGAGCUUCCUGUGGCUGCCGUGACAAACCACCACCAACUCAGUGGUUUAAAACCACACAAGGGUCUUAGAGCUGGAGAUUAGAAGUCCGAAAUCAGUUUUACAAGGUAGAAAUCAAGGUGUCUGCCUGGACACAGACACAUUGCCCUCCUUUGAGCAGCCCUAGGGAAGAGCCUGUUUCCUCCCCCAGCGUCUAGAGCCUCCCUCCUCACAUCCCUUGGCUCUGGGACCCUUCCUUCAGCUUAAAAGCCAGCAGGUAGCAUCUUCUUCAGUGGCCACAUGGCCUUCUCCCUCUCUCUCUCUCUUUUUUUCUUUUUAGGGCCACACCUGCAGCAUACAGAAAUUCCCAGGCUAGGGGUCAAAUCAGAGCUGCAGCUUCCCACCUGUGCCACAGCCACACUGGAUCCGAUGUGUAUCUGCAAACUAUACCGCAGCUAGUGACAACACCAGAUCCUCAACCCACUGAGUGAGGCCAGGGAUCAAAACUGUAUCCUCACGGACACUGCGUCGGGUUCCUAACCCGCUGAGCCACAAUGGGAACUCUACCUUCUCCCUCAUUUAGACAAAUCUCCUGCUGCCUCUCUCUUGUAAGGACCCUUGUAGUUACAUGUAGGGCUUGCCUGGAUAAUCCAGCAGUCACCCCAUCUCAAUAGCCUUCAUCACAUCUGAAAAGUCCCUUUUGCCACACAAGGUAACAUUCACAGGUUCCGGGGAAUAGAACCUGCAUAUUUGGGGAAAGGGUCAUUACUCAGCCUGUCAGUUUUCAAGUUCUGAGGAAAAGUGAAUUACAGUCUGUUAAGGAGUUGCUGGAGAUGGGAUUACGAUGGCAGAAUAGAAGGACUGGAGCUCAACUUCUCUCCUAAAAACAACAAAAUUUACAACUAAAUGCUGAGCAAUCUUCAACCGAAAGGACCGGAAACCUUCAAAAAGAUAUCCUACUCCAGAAGACAAAGAGGAGGUCAGAGCGAGAGGUAGGAGGGGUGAUUUCACGGUAUAAACAACCCCAUACCUCCCAGGUGGGAAGUCCCACAGACUGGAAAGUAACUGGUUCACAGAGACUCACCUACAGGAGUGAGAGUUCUGAGCCCCACAUCAAACUGCCACGUGUGGAGAUCUGGCACUGGGAGAAAGAGCCCCCGGAGCAUCUGGCAUUGAAGGUCAGUGGGGCCUGUGCGCAGGAGCUCCACAGGACAGGGGGAAACGGAGACCCCAUUCUUAAAAGGCACACACAGACUUUCACGUGCACUGGGUGCCAAGGCAAAGCAGAGGCUCCAUAGGAACCUGGGUCAAACCUGACUGCAGUUCUUGGAGGACCUCCUGGGAAAACAAGGGGAAUGUGGCUUGUUGAGGGGGAAGGACAUUGGAAGCAAAGCUCUCAGGAAUAUUCAGCAGCAUGCAUUUCUCUGGAGGUGGCCAUUUUGGGAAAAUCUGGCCCCACCUGUCAGCGCUGAGAAGCCCCAAGGCAAACAACAAUCCAGNCACACAGAUGCCUCUGAUCCCAUCCAGAGACAAAGCCCCACCCACCAGAGGGAUAGGAAUCAGCUCCACCUACCAGAGGGCAGGCAUCAGUCCCUCCCAUCAGGAAGCCUACAGCAAGCCCCCAUACCGACCUCAGCCACAAGGGGGGCAGACAGCAGAAGUAAGACAGGCUAUAUCUCUAUUAUCUGUAAAAAGUCACCACACCAAAAACCUAUAAAAAUGAAAAGACAGAGAACUAUAACUCAGAUGAGGGUGAAAGAAAAAAACCCAGAAAAUCAGCUAAGUGAUCAGAAGAUUCUCAGCCUCCAGGAAAAAGACUUUAGACUGUUGAUGCUGAAGAUGAUGCAAGACAUUGGAAAUAAACUGGAGGCAAAGAUGGAUAACUUACAGGAAACACAGAGCAAAGAGAUACAAGAUAUAAAACUUAAAUAAGAAGAGAUGAAAAAUACAAUAACUGAAAUAAAAAGUGAAUUUACCCCCAAGUGCUAUACAAAGAGUGGAAAGCAAAAUGAAGAUAUCUGAUGAUUCCCAAGAACCCAGAAUUUUACCACUCCGCCCCAAAAUUAAAAAUACAGUGUGGAUACAACAUAUUUAUUUACUCAUCCAUUGAUGGAUAUUUAUAGCUUCUACAACAAAAUACUUUAAAAAAUAUUUUCAACAACAGGAAGGCAAACAACCCAAUUUAAAAAUGCACGCUUGAGAGUUCCUGUCAUGGCUCAGUGGAAACAAAUCUGACUAGUAUCCAUGAGGGCGCAGGUUUGAUCCCUGGCUCACUCAGUGGGUUAAGGAUCCGGCACUGCCGUGAGCUGUGGUGUAGAUCGGCUCUGAUCUGGCGUUGCUGUGGCUGUGCUGUAGGCCAGCAGCUGGAGCUGCAAUUCAACCCCUAGCCUGGAAACCUCCAUAUGCUGAGGGUGCAGCCCUAAAAAAAAAAAAAAAA